rnacentral:rRNA from 1 species
GAUGAACGCUGGCGGCGUGCCUAAUACAUGCAAGUCGAGCGAACAGAUGAGGAGCUUGCUCCUCUGACGUUAGCGGCUGACGGGUGAGUAACACGUGGAUAACCUACCUAUAAGACUGGGAUAACUUCGGGAAACCGGAGCUAAUACCGGAUAAUAUAUUGAACCGCAUGGUUCAAUAGUGAAAGACGGUUUUGCUGUCACUUAUAGCUGGAUCCGCGCCGCAUUAGCUAGUUGGUAAGGUAACGGCUUACCAAGGCAACGAUGCGUAGCCGACCUGAGAGGGUGAUCGGCCACACUGGAACUGAGACACGGUCCAGACUCCUACGGGAGGCAGCAGUAGGGAAUCUUCCGCAAUGGGCGAAAGCCUGACGGAGCAACGCCGCGUGAGUGAUGAAGGUCUUCGGAUCGUAAAACUCUGUUAUUAGGGAAGAACAAAUGUGUAAGUAACUAUGCACGUCUUGACGGUACCUAAUCAGAAAGCCCCGGCUAACUACGUG